rnacentral:lncRNA from 1 species
GGGGAAAGUGAUCUAGCCACUUUCACCCGACCCACGCCAGGGCUUGCCAAUCCACUGGAUUCUUCCCGGAACAGUCUCUCCGACGAGACACUAUUCUCGGAGGUCCAACUUCACAGUGAGGAAGGCAAGACACCUAAACAGAAGGUCAUUUUCCCUUAGAUUGCUUCUAAGGCUUAGAAGAACAGAAGGAACAUAAAUGCCUUUAAUUUGCAGGCUGAGUUGGAUGAAAGGGAGGUCUUAAGACUCUUAGAGGCCGUCUUAGCUGAAUUAGGGAGCUGCUCCCUAAGAGACGAACCUCAGGCAAUUCUCUAAAAAGACCAUCUGGGCGGUCAAGAGCUGAAUGCCGCUUGGUUUUCCCUUCUCCUUGCUUUGACUGGGACCCAAAAUAUGACAGUCGUCCCAUUCAAAUCUAGGGGGGCGUUUCUCAUUCCCGGAUGUCCUCCCAAAGGCAGAUACCCAUGCCCUUACCCGCGGCGCGUGAAUACGAAGGGAGGCACUGCUCGGGCUCGAGACCGCACCAGAGACUGCUCGGAGCCCGCCGCCUCUGGGCCGCCGCCCCCCGCAGUGGAGGCAAAGGGCCAGAGGCCCCGAGCUUUGGAGCCGCUGGCGCCCAUGUCAGCGCCGCGGGCGCAUGGCGGACCCAGCGGCCGCUCCGCUCUCACAGCGCGGCGGGCGCGACCAUGCCCUGCCCCAGCUUCCACUCGCAGGUGCCGCCGCCGCCUUCCGCAGGCUCUGCUGUCUCCACGGAAACCUCACUUCCGCUUCCGCGCGUCCUGCACGGUGCCUCCUCUGAGUGGCUAAAGGUCUCGUCAGUCUGUGGUGUAGAACCAAUGGCCACUCUCAGAGGCUGACCACCACAGGAUGCGCUGCCUCCAGGUCCCAGAAGCCUAUGGGUCCCAAGGGUCAGCUGGGACAGCUCCCUUCCAGAAAGGCGGAGGUAAUGUGUUGUUGUUGACUUUAAGGUCGGACCGGGUAUAGUUGUCCCUAUGUCCCUGACACCGCCCAAAACUCGGGCCCAGUAGCAAUAGUCAAUUAGGUCACCCCUCCACCCUAAGGGACCUUAGGCCUGCCUGAGGCUAGGGUGGGCUGUUUUCACAACUGUGUCUUUGCAGUUGUCACAUUUGCCUGUAAAGAAACUACGGAACUUGCUAAACAUCUUUGUUAUCUUUCUUUUUUCUUUUGGAGACAGGGUCUCACUAUGUAGCCUUAGCUGGCCUGGAACGUGCCAUGUAUAAAUGGCUGACGCUCAAAUGCCUGUCUCCCGAAUGCUGGGAUUAAAGGAGUGACCAACUGCACAGGGGGCCAAACUUCUUUUUAAAACUUUUUUGAUCAAUUUCUUAAGGAACCUAAACUAAGUGUUGUUAAUUCACCAGAUAACAUAAUCCAGGAAAAUCAUUAUUACCAGCUUUACCCUGGUAGCAUGUGAACUGUGGGACCCACGAGUAGAUUUUUGGAGAAGGGGUUACUGCUAUGGUUUCUCUUGAGUUGGCCUGUGAGAAAAAAGUUUCCUGUGUAGUAACUGUAGCUUAUUCUUGUCUCUACCAUGACCUGAGCCCUGGAGGGUUGAAAGACACCUGAAUCCACAGGCAUAAAUUUCCUGAACAUAUUGGUCCCACUGCGACCUUGGAGAGGGUGCACUCUGGAUGUGUCAAUCUUUGUUGGCAGUCUUUCAUUAGGUGUUACCCCGAUCUAUAGGGGCCCACAUCUAUAGAGUCCAAAACCAGAAAAAUUCUUACAUCUUUAUUCAGCCAAUUCUCUCAGGCACCAGGCCCUGAUGAUGACUGUCACACCCCCAUCCCUUCCCCACAGGAGGCCACAAAACAUUACAUACAUUCAUACACUUCCAUCAAAAAUAUCCGAGGGAGACUCUGGCUUUGGCAAACAAGAAGAGGCUCUGGUCCAGCAGCCUUUCCCUUAGAGGAGGCACCGCCUGAGCCACUGCAGUUGAACCGGCCAGCCCUCUUUGACCCCAGGGUGUUUGGAAGUCAGAAGGCACGGUAAGAGGGAACCCCGGACUCUACCUUACUGAGCAGCUACCCUUGGCUCUGAUAGGGCUAUCCUGAGACCCAUUCAUGACUCAAAACAAUCUCCAUAGGUAAGGUCUUACCCGUGAAAACAUAACUUUGUUCUGUCUGUAGAGUCUCUAAGAUUCUCACAGCUGCGACCCUGUGACUUGAGCAGCUACCCAGAGUAUGACCCAGUACAUACGGGCAGAGGGAUGCAAAGCCCCGCCCCACCAUAUCCACAGGUAGACAGCCGGCUCCUUCCCUGUUCUCUGGGCUCAUCCCUGUCAGCAGAGGAGGACCUCCAUGCACACGCACUCCUCAGGCCCCACAGGCCCUGUCACACUCACACGGCACGCUCUUUGCACUGCCUGUUCUCCUCCUGUCACCCAGGGAGACCCAAGGUCACCCCAAAGGACAGGCGUGCAGAGCCUCCUGGAUCUUCUGGCGACAACGAGAAUACUUCUGCAGGAUCUGGCGAAGGUGUUCCUCUUCUUCCCGCUGCAGGAUGCGUAGGAAAUUGUGCAGUUCAGGCAUGCUGAAGGCAUCCCACUGCAAAGGGCAGAGGAGAGAUACACGGGCUGCAGCAAUGUAUAGCUAAGUUGGCAGACCCUCCUCCCAGACUGGUCCAUGAUGGUUCUCCCAUGAGCAGGACUGCGCUCCUGACAUUACCUUCCUUUUCAUUUCAUUAUUAUCUUAUGUGUAUGCAUAUUUCCACAUAGAGGUCAGAAGAAGGUAUCAGAUCCCCCGGAAUUAAGAGUUACAGAUGGUUGUGAGCUGCCAUCUGGGUGCUAGGCAUCAAACCCAUGUCCUCUGUAAGAACAACAUGUACUCUUAACCACUAAGCCAAUUCCUUUUGUUGUUGUUUAAUGGUUUUACAAUUUAUUUAUGUGCAUUGGUAUUCUGCCUGCAUGUAAGACUGUGAGGGCAUCAGAUCCCCUAGAACUGGAAUUAUAGACAGUUGUGAGUUGCCAUGUGGAUAUUGGGAACUGAACCCCAGGUAUUGAACUCGGGUCGGGUCCUUCAGAAGAGCAGCCAGUACUCUUUAUCGCUGACCCAUCUCUCCAGCCCUGCUAAGCCAACUCUUUAAGUCCCCUAUUUUUUUGUUGUUUUUUGAGUCACAGUCUUUUUACAUAUCAAAGGUUGGCCUUUAACUUGCUAUGUAGCCCAGGUUAGUCUCAAACUUGUGAUUCUCCUGCUUCUGCUUCCGGAAUGCUGAGAUUACAAGUAUUUAUCACAAUGCUAGCCUUGGUGUUAGGCUCUUCACUGAAUAGUCUGUGCUAGGAUCCUCAUGAGCAGUCUGUAUAGAAAACAGACCCUACAAAACAGUCUCCUUGUAGUGAAAUUUCUCUAUCUGUCGUUAGGUGUAUUUUCCCACAUAGUCUCAUAUUCUCUCCCUCACUAUAAUGGGCUCUGAUUCAAACCUAGGGUCUCAUAAAUGUUAGCAAAUUACCUUUUACCCAGCUACAUUCCCAUACAGCCCUCGUACCCACCCUAUUCUUUUUCUUUUUCUUUUUUCUUUUUUUUUUGCUGCCGAGCUCUGUGCAUGCUGAGCAUCUAUUCUUACCACUGAGGCACAACUAACCCCGAUGUAAAAAAUCAUUGUUUUUUUCUUUNNNNNNNNNNNNNNNNNNNNNNNNNNNNNNNNNNNNNNNNNNNNNNNNNNNNNNNNNNNNNNNNNUUGUAGACCAGGCUGGCCUCGAACUCAGAAAUCCGCCUGCCUCUGCCUCCCGAGUGCUGGGAUUAAAGGCGUGCGCCACCACGCCCGGCUGCUUGUAGACUGUCUUAAUGCUUCCAAGAGGCCUUUAUGUUUUUUAGGUUAUACCUGCAAAGCUUUUUUCUUUUUCUUUUUGUUUUAAGGUUUGUUUUAGGGGCUCGAAAGAUAGUUCAGUCUCAGUCUCAGUGGUUAAGAGCAUUGGUUGCUCUUGUAGAGGACCAGAGUUCAAUUCCUAGCACCAACAUGGUGGGUUCCAUCAUCUGUAACUCUGUUCUAGGGGAGCCAACACCUUCUUACUUCUGUGGGCACGUGUACACAUAUGUACACAUAUAUACAUGCAGGCAAAACAUUCAUACACAAAGUCUUUUAAAAAGAUCUGUUUUAUGUGUAUAAGUGUGUUGCUUGCAGGCAGGUAUGCACAUUGUGUGUAUGGUCUGCAAUUAUGGGCAACUGUAAGCUUUUAAAUGUGUCUAAGAACCAAAUCCAGGUCCUCUGCAUGAAUAAUACGUGUUUUUAACCACUGAGCCAUCUUUUCUAUUGUCCUAGUUGUGUGCUUGCGCACGCGCGUGGGGUCACAGGCACAUAACUCCAGGCACCCUCUGAUGCCAGCAGAGGAAGACAAAUCCUUUGGCACUGGAGUUGCAGGUAAGUGGGAGCCACUUGAUAUGGGUGCUUCAAACAGAAUGUGGAUCCUCAGGAAAUGCAGUGAGCACUCUGCACUGUGGAGCCAUCUCUGAGCCCACAUAUAUGGAGCUCUGAACUGGUCUUGGCUCACUAUGAGUUAGUCAAGUUCUCAUUUUCAACACCAGGAAACAACAAAGCCCGAAGACAAUUCUUCCUA